UCCAGUGAACAGAAAAUGAGUCAAUUUUACCCUCUCAGCAACCGAUGUGCAACAGCCGAGCGCGGUGAGAUAUGUCCACUGCCUCAUCAGCUCUGGCGCUCCACCUCCCCUUUGCUCCCCCAAUCGCCACCACCGCCUCCGCUGCCGCCAUCAAACUCACUUACCCAAUAAGCAGCUCACGGUGGUCAGCAAGUGGUUUGAGGCUCGUAGGUUCUGCUCAUGCAGCAAUUUCAGGAAGCGGACAAGGAACCUUUGAUCCUGAGCUCCGUUCUGUGCUUGAACUCGCCACGAAUUCUGAGUUAUAUGAGCUUGAAAGAAUCCUAUUUGGCCCUAGCUACUUCAGCCCUUUGCUGAAGUCUAUAAUGAGUAGAACCAAUGUUGACUAUGCGAUGGUUGAAGAGGAUCUCCAUAAGCGAGAGGAGUUUUUAACAGUAUUAGAGUCUCGAUUCUUAUUCCUUGCAGCCGAAGCCCGGUCUACGAUAAGGGGUUGGAGGCCAUCAUAUAGGAAUGUCUUACUUACAGUAAGGAAAGAGUUGAACAUUCCUUGCUCGAGCAAAUUGUCAACUGAAGACCUUGAAGCAGAGAUUUUCCUUCAUCUGUUGCGAGACUAUUCAAGUGAAGAAUCAGGAAAUUUCGAGGGCUUGUUGGAGUUCUCUGAGCCAUCUGAUGGUCAACAUAGUCUUCAAUUUGGACUCAGUCAAUGGAAGGUGCAGGCCCUCAGUGCUUUAAAAGUCGGGGCAGCAGAGCUCCGAUCCAUGUUUUUGAAGGGUGGUAGUAUCUUUACUUUGGCGAAGAUUUAUCAGUUGUUAGCUAGAAAGUUAUCUGGGAAGGUGUUCCUAGAAGCUGCCAAGUAUCAGCUAAAAAGGGAUUUUGUUAGAAGGGGAGGACAAUUAGCUGCUAUUAAUCUAGAGUCAGGAGCAGCCCUUCUUGCGGCAAAACAGGGUUUUGCAGGGGCUACAUCAAGAUAUCUUGGUUUAAGAAGCAUGAUGGCUUUGCUUGGCCCAGUGUAUUGACUCUUCCUACACUUGAUUUCUAAAACAUCAUUAUUUCCAGCUUCCCUAUGUUUGCUUUUCUGGUUCGUUUGCGACUUUAUUUCACACACGCCCUCCUACUCAUGGCCGCCGCCACACGGGCUUUGGGGAACAUUUUUGGCAGAUGUUGUCAUUCAAAUGCUCGGAACUGAUUACGCAAGAAUCUUGCGGGCAAUUUAUGCUUUUGCACAGAUCCGUAUCACUGGAACAUAUAGGCUACCGCCUGAUUGCUGAAAGGCUUUACAGUUUGCGAAGAUGCAUCCUUUUCGACAUCCAUCAAAUAGUUCCGGAGCAUGAAAUGGAUCCCAAGCAGCAUUCACACCGAAGGUAAAUGGGGACGGCCUGUCAUCACUUUAACAAGAGACUUGUGUUCAAGAUGAAUUACACUGUCACAGUCUGCUUCUGUUAUUAUUUUUUCAAUGUGUAAUAUACCUAACGUUGAAGCUGAAAAGAUUAUCGACUUCAUGGUAGUUUAUGUAUGCCAUUUUAACAUUAAAAAUUAAUCUCAGAAAAAGAAAUGAAAAGAA